rnacentral:tmRNA from 1 species
GGGGGCGUAAAGGUUUCGACAGGGGUAGGUGUAGCAUAGGUAGCGAGUCGGGGGUUCAUCAACCCGUUAGUAAGGUGAAACUUUUAUUAAAUAUAAAAGCAAACAACGAAUACGCUUUAGCAGCUUAAUGCUAACCCUUUGUUUAUCUAAUCCCGCGGGAUUUACAAAGGGCCAAUAGUGGGAUACCUAAUAGCCAAUUCUCGGAGGCUACCAUGGGAAUUUUAUCGAGAUAGCAACUAAGAAGCCUGUUUGUAGGCGUCAAAGGAGCGAAUUUCAAAAUACAAACUGCACUCGGAGAAACUUAUGAUACAAUGCUUUUGGACAGGAGUUCGACUCUCCUCGCCUCCACCA